rnacentral:ncRNA from 2 species
AAAGUAAAUAGCUUUACAGGUGCCAUGUAUAUGGUUAAAAGGGAAAACGGUUAGAAUCCGUUGCAGCCCCCGCUACUGUGAGUGGUGACGAAGCCUAGGUAUACCACCUUUUUGGGAAGGUUAGGCAGAGGAUGAACCACAAGCCAGGAAACCUGCCUGUAAAGAGGAAAGUUA